AAUAGAUACCCAGGUAGUCCACCCCGUAAACGUUGGGAACUAGUUGUGGGGUCCAUUCCACGGAUUCCGUGACGCAGCUAACGCAUUAAGUUCCCCGCCUGGGGAGUACGGCCGCAAGGCUAAAACUCAAAGGAAUUGACGGGGACCCGCACAAGCGGCGGAGCAUGCGGAUUAAUUCGAUGCAACGCGAAGAACCUUACCAAGGCUUGACAUAUACGAGAACGCUGCAGAAAUGUAGAACUCUUUGGACACUCGUAAACAGGUGGUGCAUGGUUGUCGUCAGCUCGUGUCGUGAGAUGUUGGGUUAAGUCCCGCAACGAGCGCAACCCUCGUUCUAUGUUGCCAGCACGUAAUGGUGGGAACUCAUGGGAUACUGCCGGGGUCAACUCGGAGGAAGGUGGGGAUGACGUCAAAUCAUCAUGCCCCUUAUGUCUUGGGCUUCACGCAUGCUACAAUGGCCGGUACAAAGGGCUGCAAAUACCGUAAGGUGGAGCGAAUCCCAAAAAAGCCGGUCCCAGUUCGGAUUGAGGUCUGCAACUCGA
rnacentral:rRNA from 1 species